ACGAACGCUGGCGGUGUGCUUAACACAUGCAAGUCGAACGGUAAGGCCCUUUCGGGGGUACACGAGUGGCGACCGGGUGAGUAACACGUGAGUAACCUGCCCUCAUCUCUGGGAUAACAGUCGGAAACGGUUGCUAAUACUGGAUAUGAGCUUGCAAGGCAUCUUGUGGGUUGGAAAGAUUUUUUUUGGUUGGGGAUGGACUCGCGGCCUAUCAGCUUGUUGGUGAGGUAGUGGCUCACCAAGGCUUCGACGGGUAGCCGGCCUGAGAGGGCGACCGGCCACAUUGGGACUGAGAUACGGCCCAAACUCCUACGGGAGGCAGCAGUGGGGAAUAUUGCACAAUGGACGGAAGUCUGAUGCAGCAACGCCGCGUGCGGGAUGACGGCCUUCGGGUUGUAAACCGCUUUCAAUUGUGACGAAGCUUUUUUGUGACGGUAGCAGUAGAAGAAGCACCGGCUAACUACGUG
rnacentral:rRNA from 1 species